UACAGAGGUCCCGAGCGUUGUUCGGACUCACUGGGCGUAAAGGGUGCGUAGGUGGUGAGGCAAGUCGGAUGUGAAAUCUCCAAGCUCAACUUGGAAAUGGCGUUGGAAACUACCUUGCUGGAGGUUUGGAGGGGGGACUGGAAUACUUGGUGUAGCAGUGAAAUGCGUAGAUAUCAAGUGGAACACCAGUGGCGAAGGCGAGUCCCUGGACAACACCUGACACUGAGGCACGAAAGCUAGGGGAGCAAACAGG
rnacentral:rRNA from 1 species